UGGUGUGGGUGUGUGUGUUUCAAAAACAAAAGGUGUGUUCAACAAUGCCCAGGCAUCUGCACUCAAGGCUCUCUCUCUCUCUGCAGGGGUCGUUUGAAACCAAGGUUUCACUAUCAUGCAAACGGUAUGUACAGAUACCUGCCUAUCCCCCAUCAAAAAGUGUGACGGCGUCUCUUAAAAUGGUGAUUUUCGAUUCAUUAACACAUAUGCCUUUCAAAUCCUAAUUUAUCUCACCCUCCAGAGGAUGUGAAGGCUAAAAAGUCAACCAGCCCCCAGAAAGAAUACACCAUGUCUAGACCGACCCCCAGGGAUAAACAUUGAUAUUUCUAAUCAGCGCAUAUACUAACCGUGCCCCCACUCCGGUCUAUACAUUUACAUCGGACACCCUCCAAGGUGCUAACCCUGAGGAUGUAGGAAAUCAAAAGGGCCACGUCUUACUGUCUCGACACCCCUCCUGUUGUUUGAAAUCACUACCUUUGUAAUCUAAACCAAAAUAUACAGGGUGUUGCAAACAGGAUAUCGCCCGAAAAAACGUCACCCCCCAUGCCCUGUAAAUGCAUUCCGUAGUAUCUCUCCUUUUGAGACAAGACCGAGGAGCGAGUGUCCGAUCCACUAUGUUCGCACCGCUUUAGCGCAGCUACAAACCCACAGGCCAGCAACCCCGAAUAGUUAUCGGACUGAACAUUUAAAAGGAUCAUCUGUGAAUCCGUCCUAAUGGAGCUUUCUGAAGUUUGUAGGGUCUCCAACAUUUACGCAGCUGCUCAGAGGGAUAAAUGAUCUGGAACAGACAGCGUUAGACGGCGAUUCUCAGGAGCAAAUCGCAUGCAGCCAAACCCCGUCACAUUAUUGUAGACCUGACAUACAGCCAAGAAGAAUAACGGGGUCCAUGUGGACCCUGAACGGCUUCGGAAGAGCAGAUGACAGAUCCGAUGACACAGAUGCAAUUCUCCCGUUCUGUACGAACGUUUUUUCAAACACACCGAGAACAGAGGAUUUAAACGUCCGGUCAACUCCCCUGGGAACCUCCACCAGCUCGCUCCAUAUUCCUAACCCAAGCAAACAACGCACAACUCCGGCGCAAAUACAUUGCUCAGAAUCAACCCCUCCGGAAAAGUACGACAGGACAGGGAAUUUACGAGACGGCGCUCCAUGGACACGGCUCCAACGAGACAGGCCUGGCAGAAUCGGGAAUUCUUGGUGACAAAAGUCAAGGCCCCCCCCCCGGAUUCGGUCAGAACAGAGACUCCUCCCCGGCGUAUAAUGGCACCGAAUACCUCACACAUCUUAAGCGCGAGGAGGAUCCCGGCUCACCGAACAUUCCCAAUGAAACAACCAAAACGGAGGAUUUAAACCUUAUAAAUGACAUUUCCGAGGCAGACGACCGGUUAUUAUGGGAUGCGGCCAACCUUCUUGAUUCUGCCAAUUCUGUGGUGACAACAGACGGAUCUGAAAUAGAACAAG